GGCACCAUAUUUUUUAAGCUCCUCGUCAGUCUUCCUAGUACCAUGAAUAAACCCCCUUCAGUAUUGUCUGUGCUUGCCUGAUUCUUGGGGAAAAUAAUCUUUUUGCCUAACAGUUUUGGCACAGCGAGCAGGAUGCGAUCGGGAAUUCUUGGAGAGUUUCUCACAACCAGGGAUAGAGAAUUAUGUUCCAGGUUCCCCUCUGUUUGGGCAGAAAAUAAACAGUCUUGCAGUUCGAUGUCUGCUCAUCUUUGCCCACCCAUCCAGAUUACCAGUCAACUCCCUCCACCUACCAAGCAAUACCCUCUCAAACCUGAGGCCGUGGAUGUGGUAACAAACAUAACUCCCCACGUUAAUCCUCCUGGCAAACGUACCUGAUGCAGCCUCCUGGGACUGCCCUUAGUACAUGUUACACAGGAUGCCUGUUUCAAAGCUGGCCAGUAUGUGCAACUCCCUACAGGAGACAGCAGUGAAUAGCUACCAUGAACAGAGCUGCACAGCUUCUGCCGCUUUUUCCAUGUUGUCUGUCCUGGGCUCCCAUGGAAGCUACAGAAGGCAACAAGUCCUCGCCGUUUUUCAGCCAUCAUGAACAGAGCCGCACAGAUUCUGCCGCAAACUCUGUUCAUGUUUCCACCGCAAACUCUGCUCUCCCGCUCUUGCAGCUCUAAUGAGCUUCCCAACUCCGUGAAAGCUAUAGAAGACAACAAUUUACUGCCUUUUAUUGGCCAUCUUGAACAGAACAGCUUAUUUCACACCCUUUUUCCAGGAUUACCCAUGCAGGCGGCAUAGCACGGGAAGCAUGGAGCCCGCUCAGAUUUCCACUGCAGUUUUGACCAUUGUAAAUAUCUCGCACAUUAUCCAGCACUAUGUGCAGUACCUGCAAAACCGGGCAAGGAAGCGACGACAACGCAAUUACUAUACUGAUGAGGACAUGGACAGAGACAUUCCUAGAAGUGCGGCAUGUGGCGACUGGGAGAUCAUGGUGGCACUGGGCCUGGUUCAUGCCGUGGAAUGCCGAUUCUGGGCCCGGGAAACAAACACAGACUGGUGGGAUCGCAUAGCGUUGCAGGUCUGGGAUAAUUCCCAGUGGCUGUGAAACUUUCGUAUGCGUAGGGCCACUUUCAUGGAACUUUGACUUGCUGUCUCCUGCCCUGAAGCGCAAAGACACCAAAAUGAGAGCAGCCUUGACCGUUGAGAAGCGAAUGGCCAUAGCACUGUGGAAGCUUGCAAAGCCCGACAGCUACCGAAAGAUGCCUCCAUAGAAGACUUAGCUAAGGAAAAGAUCCAAGAGCAACUGACCAGCCAGCUCUGCUGAGAACCCCUGUAAGCUUUCUGAUCUUUCACAACAAGGCUGAUAAGAGGAACUAUACCCCUUCUAAGAAAUGGUAAAGAACCCUUUGUAGCCUAGUUUAAAGCUAUCAUUUAAUGCAAAAGCUAGGAUCAAAUGUAGCUCACUUGAAAGCACUAGCUAUAGUGCAUGUGUUUCAAGAAGUGUGUCUUGGUCUUUGUGUAAACCUAGGUUGCCAUUGAAGUGCCAAAUUCUGGUAUUUUACAUCUGGUGAUGUUUAGAUUUUAUGUUCCAAACGCAUGGAGUCCUCAUAAAUCAGUUCUCUGGGCAUUAUCUGUAUUGAAAUGCUACUCUUGUGAAAACAUACAUCUUCACAAUUGGAGAGUGUGAUUAUCUAGUUUUCCUCUCAAAUGAUCUGGAGCAGCGAGAGAAAAACACCACAUCUUCAACCAGGUCUUCUAAAAAACAAAACACAAACAAACUACACCUUUGUGGAUUAAGCAUCUGUGAGGCAUCUCUGAACUCUACAACUCACUUUCAUUCCUGGCGUCAGCAUAUGGCAUGUCAUGGCAUUCAUUUAAAAAACAACAUCAGUCCACAAAACUAACUAUGUCU